CCCCAUGCUACAACUGCUAUAUACAUGUACAUAUACAUAUGUAUUUCGCUUGUGAGAUAAAUCAAAUUCGAACACAGCCAGCAUAUGUCGCUGCUAAAACAAUUGCAGCCGAAUCAUGGUAUGAAAAUGGCAUGGCUUCGUGCUUUAUUCCAUCUCUCCUUGAUCUAAAGCCGUGUAGAACAUAAUAACAGUCGCUAAUUUAAGGAGUUUGGAUAUCUCCUACCUGAUUUCCUCAGACCACUCUUUACGUCCCACUUAAACAACUGAACCAAAUACCCCUGCAUGUUGACACAGAAUCAUUCAUCUUGAAUCUGGUGCCUGACUGCCUGGUCUGUGGGCGUGGUAACUCCAUGGAGCGGGUCCGGCAGCUGGCAUGCGAGCAUGAACCAGAGCGAACGCAACAGACGUCGCUCUCGAAGGCGACCCGAUUCAUUCUGAGCAUGCUCUCUACCCUCUACGUUCGCAGCGGUGUUAAUAGUGCAAGGAACUGCAAGGAGCGCCAGGAGAGUCCUAGCACAUGCUCUCAUGAUGCAUAUAGGCCUACAUGUACUUCACCCACCACGUCCGAGCCAUCAAGAGUGUUAUGUGCUGAUCGUGGUUAUGGGCUGGUUAUAGCAUAAUUCCCAUUCAGCAAUUAUUAUGCAUGUACAAAUGUAGUUGGGGAAAUGCGAGCAGCAUCGAGUCAGAAGAUUGUGGAUCUUUCCCGAGUACUUCAAAUCUUUCAGACGAAUGAACAUGAUGACAGAGGUUCACAAACACGAUCUAAUCGAAGGCAGUACGUGAUCAAAGUGGAAGACAUCAUAAGACAGGCCUCUUUAGUUGUGAGCGAGUGUCAUGGAUGAAGGCACGGUGGCACACAUUAAGCGGAACUGAUUGCUCCAUCACUCGCCACGUUUGCACGUGAGGCUUAAGGAAGAUGGGAUGAGGUCGACCGGAUAAUCUUCUCGUUAGGUUUUAAAUUUUAAUGUCAUUCUCAAAAAACGGAUUUUGUCAAAUAUUUAGUCAUGCAAAUAAUCAAGCAAUUAAUGACUUUUGAAAUACAAUUGCUCAUUCUUGAUUGAUCGGAGUAUUUUAGUGUUCAGUAAGGGAAGACUUUCAGUUUCGUAUGGAUAAUAACAACAUCAGUAAUAAGUUUUAUGGAUCUUUAAAAUUGUUUAUACAUUCAACAAGUAUGAUCAAAAUAUGCACAAUUGUGCAUUAUUUUAUUUCCAUUCGUGGUUUUGGAAUUGUGCGGUAGACCCUUAUGCCUCAGCUAUGUUGUAGUUAGAAGUGGAAAACAAUUUUGCCAAAUCAAUGUGAAUAUUUGGUAAAGAUAUACACGUAUAAGGCAUGAAUUGUUUCCUGAGUUGAUUCCCUUCUUUAAAAUGAUGUACUCAUUUUGUAAAACAAAAACAUACCGGAACUUGUCCAGUCAUUUUUGAAUCAGUUACGUGCAUCUGUUCAAAUCACAAAACGACUAACUUAACUUCAGUAUUUUAAUGGCCACAUUUAAGUGGACGACAUCAUUUUGUUUAACAAGUUAAACACCAAGGUCACUUUGCUGAAAAUAUCACCAUUUAACCUAGAGUCACCCUUAGACUGAAAGAUUCAGUAUUCUACAUACAGGGCUGCUAAAAUAAGAAAGCCUCAAAAUUUCGUAAUUUUUCUCGCACUGCGUGGAGCAACUUUUAUGUAAUUGAGCUGUAUCUAUGAUGAGAAAAACAUUUUGUAUUAAGUAUAUUGG